ensembl:lncRNA
CUUCAUGCCAGAUGUGACGUUAUAUUACAUGGGCUUGCACCAUGCUGUUUAACAGAUCUCAUUCCACUCCACGUAUUGCUGAACGUUCUUGGAUCCCGCAAUAGUGGCUACUUAUCUACCUGCAGUCAAAUCGAAAGCUGCAGGCUGCACAACCAGUUCUUAUUGUGUUUCUGUUUUUGAAGUAGUCUCCAUGGUGGGAUCAGUGAAGCCAAUCCUCCAAACAGCUUGUAAAUCAGGCUUACAACCUGACCAGCUCAGUGAUUCAAAUUUAUCCCGUUUAACCCUGUCGGAGCACAUUUGUUGUUCAUGCUGAUGAAUGUUUGUGUGGGAGUGUGUAUUAAUACUUCUCUUUCCUCUUUUCACACCAAAUUGUGGCUUCAGCUGAGCAGUGAUCUGCACGCUUUGAGGUUCUUAACAUCCUCAUCUCUGGUGGUAGCUGUUGUUCAUGGUGGCUGUUCCUACAGGCUCUAAAACUCAUCCUCCAAUGACCCAUUAGUGACAAACAAUAACGUGAAUUCUUCCUACAGAAUUCCAAGUAGUUCCCAGGACAGAUGACAUAUGUAUUCCCUCUAGCAAGAUCUGGGUCUACCCUGGGAUGUGCUUUCAACCUCCAGCGGAACGCAUCCAGGAGUCUAAACUCACUCUCGACCCGAAGAAGCAGUGCCGGCGGAUGUUCAAGCUCCUCAUCCUACCUCUAAAGCUGAGCCUGGCCACCCUACACAGGAAAGUAAUUUGGGCUUCUUGUGAUCCAUGAUCUCAGAGCUCACGGGUGAGGGUUGGAACAUGGACUGACCAUUAAAUCGAGAGCUCUCUCUUCUGGCUCACGUUCCAGUGAAACACCCACAAAACUGUUGAUGCUGCACCAGUCCGUCUGUCCAUCUCACGCUCCGCCUGCUUAGGGCAGCAAGUCACCUCCAACCCAGAAGAAACAAUCUAUUGUUUUUUCCCCCAAAGCUUUUCCUCUUUAUCACUGUGAACAGGGUGUCCUUGUGAUCCUAUGAGCUAUGUUGUAGCUUCUGUUAGGGUAUCCCAUCUUUGUGAGCUAUCAGCAGCUUGAAAACAAAAAUUUAAACAUUGGAAAUGUUGCACCA